rnacentral:rRNA from 1 species
AAGUCGUAACAAGGUUUCCGUAGGUGAACCUGCGGAAGGAUCAUUAUCGUACAACCGAGGUGCAAAGGCUGUCGCUGACCCUCAAAGGUCGUGCACGCCCGAGCGCUCUCGCACAAUCCAUCUCACCUUUGUGCAUCACCGCGUGGGUCCCCUUUGCGGGAGGGCUUGCGUUUUCACAUAAAACUUGAUACAGUGUAGAAUGUUUUUCUUUUGCGGUCACACGCAAUCAAUACAACUUUCAACAACGGAUCUCUUGGCUCUCGCAUCGAUGAAGAACGCAGCGAAAUGCGAUACGUAAUGUGAAUUGCAGAAUUCAGUGAAUCAUCGAAUCUUUGAACGCACCUUGCGCCCCUUGGCAUUCCGAGGGGCACACCCGUUUGAGUGUCGUGAAAUCUUCAAAAUCCUUUUUUUUCUUUGAACCAUUGUGGUCGGGAAAAGGGGGGUUUUGGACUUGGAGGUUCAAUGCUCGCCCUUUCUUUCGAAAGUGUGAGCUCCUCUCAAAUGAAUUAGUGGGGUCCGCUUUGCUGAUCCUUGACGUGAUAAAAUGUUUCUACGUUUUGGGUUUAGCUCUGUUCCUUUGGAUGCCUGCUCCUAACCGUCUCAUUGACGAUGAUGGUGCUCUGGUCACCGCCGUCUACAUCGGCGGGAGGCUGGACCCACGAAAAGAAAACCUUGACCUCAAAUCGGGUGAGACUACCCGCUGAACUUAA